CCUACGGGAGGCAGCAGUGAGGAAUAUUGGUCAAUGGACGAAAGUCUGAACCAGCCAAGUCGCGUGAAGGAUGACUGCCCUAUGGGUUGUAAACUUCUUUUAUAAGGGAAUAAAACGAGCCACGUGUGCCUUUUUGCAUGUACUUUAUGAAUAAGGAUCGGCUAACUCCGUGCCAGCAGCCGCGGUAAUACGGAGGAUCCGAGCGUUAUCCGGAUUUAUUGGGUUUAAAGGGUGCGUAGGUUGGUUUGUAAGUCAGCUGUGAAAGUUUGCGGCUCAACCGUAAAAUUGCAGUUGAUACUGGCAGACUUGAGUACAGUUGAGGUAGGCGGAAUGCGUGGUGUAGCGGUGAAAUGCAUAGAUAUCACGAAGAACCCCGAUUGCGAAGGCAGCUUACUAAGCUGUAACUGACAUUGAUGCACGAAAGUGUGGGGAUCAAACAGGAUUAGAUACCCUUGUAGUC
rnacentral:rRNA from 1 species